CAAAUAUAAAAUAAACAAUAAGAGUACAAUUCCAGUAUCAUUCAAAUAUAAAAUAAGUCUUUAUUCUUUAAGAUGUUACAUAUCACUGAGGAUUGCAGAAGAGUGUGAUUAAAUAUUUCAAAUCAAAGUGAUGAAAUCAGAAUAAUUCAUUAGUUUGAAACAGAGUGAACAGAGUCAGCUGAUCUUCAGUCAGCAGAGUUUCUCAGACCGACA